GCGCAUGCCUGUAAUCCCAGCACUUUGGGAGGCCGAGGUGGGUGGAUCACAAGGUCAGGAGAUCGAGACCAUCCUGGCUAACACGGUGAAACCCUGUCUCUACUAAAAAUACAAAAAAUUAGCCGAACGUGAUGGUGGGCACCUGUAGUCCCAGCGGUUCGGGAGACUGAGGCAGGAGAAUGGCGUGAACCCGGGAGGCGGAGGUUGCAGUGAGCCGAGAUUGCGCCACUGCACUCCAGCCUGGGCGACAGAGCGAGGCU
rnacentral:lncRNA from 1 species